UGGUAGGGGCGCCACAUGCAAAUGACCUCA
rnacentral:piRNA from 1 species